rnacentral:rRNA from 1 species
UACGGAGGGGGCUAGCGUUAUUCGGAAUUACUGGGCGUAAAGCGCACGUAGGCGGCUUUGUAAGUUAGAGGUGAAAGCCCGGGGCUCAACUCCGGAAUUGCCUUUAAGACUGCAUCGCUAGAAUUGUGGAGAGGUAAGUGGAAUUCCGAGUGUAGAGGUGAAAUUCGUAGAUAUUCGGAAGAACACCAGUGGCGAAGGCGACUUACUGGACACAUAUUGACGCUGAGGUGCGAAAGCGUGGGGAGCGAACAGG